GCUUGGGUGGCUCAGUCGGUUGAGCAUCUGACUUUGGCUCAGGUAAUGAUCUUGCGGUCUGUGGGUUCAAGCCCCAUGUUGGGCU
rnacentral:tRNA from 1 species